CGGGGAGGUAGUGACGAAAAAUAACGAUACGGGACUCAUCCGAGGCCCCGUAAUCGGAAUGAGUACACUUUAAAUCCUUUAACGAGGACCAAUUGGAGGGCAAGUCUGGUGCCAGCAGCCGCGGUAAUUCCAGCUCCAAUAGCGUAUAUUAAAGUUGUUGCGGUUAAAAAGCUCGUAGUUGAAUCUGUGUGUCACAGUGUCGGUUCACCGCUCGCGGUGUUUAACUGGCAUUAUGUGAUACGUCCUAUCGGUGGGCUUAGCUCCUUGUGGGCGGUCCAACUAAUCUCCCAUCGCGGUGCUCUUCACUGAGUGUCGAGGUGGGCCGAUACGUUUACUUUGAACAAAUUAGAGUGCUUAAAGCAGGCUACCUUCGCCUGAAUACUGUGUGCAUGGAAUAAUGGAAUAGGACCUCGGUUCUAUUUUGUUGGUUUUCGGAGCCCCGAGGUAAUGAUUAAUAGGGACAGAUGGGGGCAUUCGUAUUGCGACGUUAGAGGUGAAAUUCUUGGAUCGUCGCAAGACGGACAGAAGCGAAAGCAUUUGCCAAAAAUGUUUUCAUUAAUCAAGAACGAAAGUUAGAGGUUCGAAGGCGAUCAGAUACCGCCCUAGUUCUAACCAUAAACGAUGCCAGCCAGCGAUCCGCCGAAGUUCUUCAGAUGACUCGGCGGGCAGCUUCCGGGAAACCAAAGCUUUUGGGUUCCGGGGGAAGUAUGGUUGCAAAGCUGAAACUUAAAGGAAUUGACGGAAGGGCACCACCAGGAGUGGAGCCUGCGGCUUAAUUUGACUC
rnacentral:rRNA from 1 species